rnacentral:pre_miRNA from 1 species
UCUUACGGAUGAGCAAAUAAAGUGGUUUCUUGAGCUGGAAUCUUCUCCUGGUGAAGAUGCUGUGAG